AUCCCAUGAUGAGGACAGGCGGCCGCAUACUCCUGCAGACGUUCCUAUGCUUCCGGAAUAGACUCGUCCCUCGUUUGCUGGAAACUUGAAAUUCGUCCACGAAGGGC
rfam:Oryza sativa (indica cultivar-group) chromosome 8, whole genome shotgun sequence.